rnacentral:rRNA from 1 species
AUUGAACGCUGGCGGCAGGCUUAACACAUGCAAGUCGAACGAGUGGCGGACGGGUGCGUAAUGCUUGGGAAUCUAGCUUAUGGAGGGGGGUAACUACGGGAAACUGUAGCUAAUACCGCGUACCAUAGGAUGAGCCCAAGUGGGAUUAGGUAGUUGGUGCGGUAAAGGCUCACCAAGCCGACGAUCUCUAGCUGGGCUGAGAGGAUGACCAGCCACACGGGGACUGAGACACGGCCCAGAAUCCUACGGGAGGCAGCAGUGGGGAAUAUUGCGAAAUGGGGGCAACCUGACGCAGCCAUGCCGCGUGAAUGAAGAAGGCCUUCGGGUUGUAAAGUUCUUUCGGUAGAGAGGCGUUAACUACAGAAGAAGCACCGGCUAACUCCGUGCCAGCAGCCGCGGUAAUUC